CAUCUGACCGGCCUUGAAGAGGCGACUCCCUUCCGGGCGAGAUGUGUAGGUGCUGCAUGGUUGUCGUCAGCUCGUGCCGUGAGGUGUCGGCUUAAGUGCCAUAACGAGCGCAACCUCAUCAUUAGUUACCAUCAGGUAAGGCUGGGGACUCUAAUGAGACUGCCAUCGUAAGAUGUGAGGAAGGUGGGGAUGACGUCAAAUCAGCACGGCCCUUACGUCCGGGGCGACACACGUGUUACAAUGGGUGGUACAAAGGGCAGCUACCUGGCGACAGGAUGCUAAUCUCGAAAACCGCUCUCAGUUCGGAUCGGAGUCUGCAACUCGACUCCGUGAAGCUGGAUUCGCUAGUAAUCGCGCAUCAGCCACGGCGCGGUGAAUACGUUCCCGGGCCUU
rnacentral:rRNA from 1 species